GAUGAACGCUGGCGGCGUGCCUAAUACAUGCAAGUCGAGCGAACGGACGAGAAGCUUGCUUCUCCGAUGUUAGCGGCGGACGGGUGAGUAACACGUGGAUAACCUACCUAUAAGACUGGGAUAACUUCGGGAAACCGGAGCUAAUACCGGAUGAUAUUUUGAACCGCAUGGUUCAAAAGUGAAAGACGGUCUUGCUGUCACUUAUAGAUGGAUCCGCGCUGCAUUAGCUAGUUGGUAAGGUAACGGCUUACCAAGGCAACGAUGCAUAGCCGACCUGAGAGGGUGAUCGGCCACACUGGAACUGAGACACGGUCCAGACUCCUACGGGAGGCAGCAGUAGGGAAUCUUCCGCAAUGGGCGAAAGCCUGACGGAGCAACACCGCGUGAGUGAUGAAGGUCUUCGGAUCGUAAAACUCUGUUAUUAGGGAAGAACAUAUGUGUAAGUAACUGUGCACAUCUUGACGGUACCUAGUCAGAAAGCCACGGCUAACUACGUG
rnacentral:rRNA from 1 species